GUGGAGGGGCAGUGGGGGAGAUGUGGUGGGGAUGUGGGAGCUGAGGGGCUUUGGGGGCUAUUGGGGGAUCUGUAAGGGGAGAUGGGGCUUUAGGGACUGGGGGACUGUAGGGAGGGUUUUAGGGCUGUAGAGGGGACAUGGGGUGCUAUGGGGCUGUAGGGAGCAGGGGAAUAAUAUGGGGCUGUAGGGGGCUAUUGGGGGAGCUAUAUGGCUCUAUGGGGAGGCUUUGAAGGAAAGUGGGUGGGCUAUAGGGGGUUUAUACGUGGUUAUGUGGCUAUAGGGUUCUGUGGGUGGGCUGUAGGAGGGUUCUAGUAGGGUAGG
rnacentral:lncRNA from 1 species